AGAAGUUAUUUUCCACUCGGAUCGUUCGGCACGUACCUGCCGAUGGAGGAGACACCAU
rfam:Corynebacterium sp. HMSC04H06 Corynebacterium_spHMPREF3067-1.0_Cont15.1, whole genome shotgun sequence.